AUUGAACGCUGGCGGCAGGCCUAACACAUGCAAGUCGAACGGAGUGGCGGACGGGUGAGUAAUGCCUAGGAAUCUGCCUGGUAGUGGGGGAUAACGUCCGGAAACGGGCGCUAAUACCGCAUACUAUCAGAUGAGCCUAGGUCGGAUUAGCUAGUUGGUGGGGUAAAGGCCUACCAAGGCGACGAUCCGUAACUGGUCUGAGAGGAUGACCAGCCACACUGGAACUGAGACACGGUCCAGACUCCUACGGGGGGCCGCAGUGGUGAAUAUUGCACCGUGGGCGCAAGCCUGAUGCAGCCAUGCCGCGUGUAUGAAGAAGGCCUUCGGGUUGUAAAGUACUUUCAGCGGGGAGGCGUUACCCGCAGAAGAAGCACCGGCUAACUCCGUGCCAGCAGCCGCGGUAAUUC
rnacentral:rRNA from 1 species